GCCGAUGAUGACAAAAACUGCUGAACUGUGAUGAGCCCUAUGAGUCCUGAGG
rnacentral:snoRNA from 1 species